rnacentral:lncRNA from 10 species
UGGCUUUUAUUAUUCCUGCGCUGUGCUAAAUGCUGCACCACAUUCAAUUCUCCAACGACUUUAGCUAAGUUUCUAUUUCCUCUUACACACAAUGGUGUUAAUAAAAGAGACUUACAGUGGAUCGACUUGCUCAAAGUUGCAGUUACAUGUGGUCAAACCCAGGCUAAUUCCAGAGCUCAACCCUCACUCUCUCAGCAAGGCGUUUCCUGUCCCAAAUUGAAAUAGUCCAAACCCCUUCCCUGCUGUGUCCUCCUAUCGCUUUACCACCAUCUAAGGAAGAAUGUUUCACUUUUUUUGUUCAUUGCUGUAUUCCAGCACCUACAACAACAGUGCCUGGCACAUAGUAAGUGCUCAAUAAAUAUUUGUUGAAUAUUUACUUCUGUCUCUGUCAACUUGGAUAAUGAGUCUGAAUCUGCACCUGUAAGAAGGAUCCACUUGGGGUGCUGACACCCGAUUUUUAAUCAAGGUCAGUAAAGGGCCACACACCGGACUGCUGUGAUUUUGCCAAGUAUUAUCUAGAGAGACAGGCUGCUUCUCUCUGGACACCCAGCCACUGACGCUGUGCCUUUUCUGUCUGCUAAUUCCAUAGCGACAGCUGAGUGAAUACCAACCAUGUGUGACAGCAAUUGUUAAAUGGUCUACAGGCAUUGUGUCUAAUCCCAGCAACGUCUCUGCAUGUUACAAACGAGGCUCAGAGUGUCUAAGUAAUUUGUCCAAAGUCCCCUAGCUAGGAGAUGGCAGAGCUGUGGCCUUUACUGAAUGUGUGGCUGACUGCUGAGGUCCAGGGGUAGUAAUAAAGGGAUGCUGUGUGGGAGACCAGAUACAACCUGGACAUCUUAACAGAGGCCAACAUGAAGGGUAACUGGUCCAAGGACCAGAUGGGAUUGCGGAUCUCAGUGGAUACCUGCCUAGGAGGCAGAGAUGAUGAGGGUCCCUGUGCGUCCCUAGUUGCCAAAGCUUUGACCAGAAUCCCGAAGCACUUAGGCAUCCCCAUUCAUUGAUUUAUUCAUGUUUAUUUAUUCAGCAGUUAUUUACUGAGUUCCUGCUGUGUGCCAGGCAUUUCUCCAGGUGCUAAAGACACAGCAGUGAACAAAACAGACAAGAAUCCCCGCUGUCAAGGAGCUUCCAGUCUAGUAGAGGGAGAUCAUCUAUCAACAUCAUAAAUAAGUAUUGGAACAGUUUAAUAGUUUGGAAUGGACACCAAAUGAGUCAUUAAUGGAUAAGUGGGGAUCUCCCUCUCUGAAGAAAAUGUUCAUGCCUGUUAUUUUGUAACAAACGAACAUGGAUAUGAAUCAUGGAGAAAAACAUAUUGCUAUGUGGCUGUUUGUCUAGACCACUGGGUCUCACCACCUGUUGAGUUGGUAUUGGAUCACUUGACCCCAGGAGUUUGAAACCAGCCUAGGCAACAUAGUGAGACCCCGUCUCUAAAAAAAAAAAAAUUGUUUUGUUUUUAAUUAGCCAGGCAUGGUCGUGUGCACCUGUGGUCCCAGCUACUCAGGAGGCUGAGGCAGGAAGAACAUUUGAGUCCAAGAGUUUGAGACUGCAGUGAACCAAGAUCAUGCCACUGCACUCCAGCCUGGGUGACAGAGUGAGACCCUCUCUCCAAAAAAUAAAAAUAAAAAAGAGUUGGUAUUGAAUGAAUGGUGUGUGGCUGUAGUCAGACAAACUUAGUGAGAAGAUGAGGAAGGCAAAAAAACAAAAACAGUAAGCAAAAAUAACGGUAAAAUAUAUUGGUCCACUAUAUCAAUAUUGACUAAAAAAACAUACAUUUUUGUCUUUAAAAAGUGGAAGUAAAAUUGUAAAUAACAGAAAACUAGGAAUUAUUGUAUACACAGAAAACCAGGAAGGAAACAUUCAGAGAACAGUGGAAACUCGUUGAGGUCCUCGUGUCCAAGAGAACAGACAGGCCCACCUCUAAUAUAUUUUUGGGACCCAAGACAAAGGAACAAAUGGAAGCCUAAAUAUGAAAUAUAUAAAUAUGUCAGGCUAACCCCAUUUCAAUACAUUCUAGCCUCCUACCUAGACAAAUACAUAACAACCUGUAAGACCAGAUUUGAAUUUCAAAUGCUCGGAUUCCUUAGGAUUCUGUCCUGUUGGUGCAGGGAGAAUCAGCCCAUGGACACAACCCACUCCUCCUCCUCUGGCUUCACUCUGCACCACCAAGAGGCUCCUGUGCAUACGGACACUCGGCCUGGACAUCAAGUCUUGUCCAUAACCUCUGCAAACAACCAUUCUUUGAUCGUCUUUUGUUGGAGGCCGAAAGAGUGAGGGUCGUGAUCAACUCAGUAAAUCACUGGUGGCUGUGUAAGUAAGCAGCAAACUGUUCUCAUGAAAGCAGGUUGUUAGCAAACUGACAAACUGCAUCUGCCGCCCAGAAGGAAUGCUGAGGGCAGUCAUGCCCAGGCGCAAGUGUUUCUUGUGAUCAGGCACAUCUGAAGCCUGUUAGCAAUAAUAUGAACCUGUGAUCAAUCCAGCAGCUGACCAAUCAUUACCUCCUCCUCCCUGCUCUUUCUACUCAAUAAAUACGAAGGGCUGUAGAAGCUCAGGGUGGCUGCCUUUGCUCAUUAGAAGCAGGGAGCCCUCUUCUUCUUCCCUCGGCCCCUCUCAUUAAAAGUUACUUUUGUCUUAAGUUUUCAUUUCUGCAUUCAU